rnacentral:piRNA from 1 species
GAGAGAGAGAAGGUUCUUCUGUAGU